CAGAGAGAGAGACAGAGAGAGACCGAGGCAGACAAACAGGUAUUCUGCCUGAUAGAGCUCUGCAUACGCUGAAGUUAGCUGGUGCUAAGCUUGCAGUUACAAGAGUAUCGGUGGCGAUGUAGUCGUGACAUCGACCCUGGAAACUGUUUAGCUGGGGAGCUUCUGUGUCGACGAGUAACAGCACUACUAAACAUCCUGCCGAAGAAUCUUCUGAUCCACCGACUGUUUCUGGAGACUCCAUCCGAGCCGAUGUUGGCGUCAGCAGAGUCAACCGUUAACGGUGCAGAAGGAGCUUCGCCAGCAGAGGGACUGUUGACUUCAGCUGCAUUUGAAGCUUCAUCAGCUGUGACUGUACCUUCGUCAGCUGGAACAGCGUCAUACAGGUCAGUCGUUACAGGGGCUUGGUUGAAGCUUCUGUAGAGGCAGGGAUGAAUGCAGCUUCAUCAUCAUCAGCCGAACCAGUGGCAGCAUCUGCAGCUUGAACAUAUGAGCCACCAGCAUCUGAGUCCCCACCAGCGGCUGAACCGGCAGUGCUCUCUGAGGCCUCAUCACCAGCUGGAACGUUGUCAUCUAUGCCAGUCAUCACGGGAGCGUCAUCUAAAGAGGCAGUGGAGACAUCUGCUGAAACCGCGGCACCAUCUGAGGCAUCACUGGAGCAAACAGCAGGGCCCAAGCAAUACACCCGCCAAGUGUGAAGAAGAUCGGAUGAGCGGUUCUCGAGAUAUGCAAAGAGUAUACGUAAAGACAGACAGAAAGAUAGACGGAGAUUAUUCGCGUUAUACUAAUGAUGCACCGAUACCGUAUCAGAUAUCAGGCCCAUACUGACUCAAAUAGCUGGAUCGGAUAUCAGUGACAACAGGGCUGAUCAAUCAAAUUAAAUUCUAUGUUUAUAUACUAUUUAUAUUCUAUACUGGAAUUUGAA